UUACGGCCGUAUCACGUUGAAACACCGGUUCUCGCAGAAUACCGAAGUUAAGUAACGUCGAGCCUGGCCAGUACCUAGAUGGGUGACCGCUUGAGAAUACCGGCUGCUGUAAU